GAUGAACGCUGGCGGCGUGCCUAAUACAUGCAAGUCGAGCGAACAGAUAAGGAGCUUGCUCCUUUGACGUUAGCGGCGGACGGGUGAGUAACACGUGGGUAACCUACCUAUAAGACUGGGAUAACUUCGGGAAACCGGAGCUAAUACCGGAUAACAUUUGGAACCGCAUGGUUCUAAAGUGAAAGAUGGUUUUGCUAUCACUUAUAGAUGAAUCCGCGCCGUAUUAGCUAGUUGGUAAGGUAACGGCUUACCAAGGCAACGAUCCGUAGCUGACCUGAGAGGGUGAUCCGCCACACUGGAACUGAGACACGGUCCAGACUCCUACGGGAGGCAGCAGUAGGGAAUCUUCCGCAAAGGGCGAAAGCCUGACGGAGCAACGCCGCGUGAGUGAUGAAGGGUUUCGGCUCGUAAAACUCUGUUAUUAGGGAAGAACAAACGUGUAAGUAACUGUGCACGUCUUGACGGUACCUAAUCAGAAAGCCACGGCUAACUACGUG
rnacentral:rRNA from 1 species